GCCCAGGUAGCUCAGUCGGUAGAGCAAAGGAUUGAAAAUCCUUGUGUCGACGGUUCGAUUCCGCCCCUGGGCA
rfam:Crenothrix polyspora isolate RSM_CP1 genome assembly, contig: CRENPOLYSF1_Contig_1